rnacentral:rRNA from 1 species
AACGGGGGGGCUAGCGUUGUUCGGAAUUACUGGGCGUAAAGCGCACGUAGGCGGCGAUUUAAGUCAGAGGUGAAAGCCCGGAGCUCAACUCCGGAACUGCCUUUGAGACUGGAUUGCUAGAAUCUUGGAGAGGCGAGUGGAAUUCCGAGUGUAGAGGUGAAAUUCGUAGAUAUUCGGAAGAACACCAGUGGCGAAGGCGGCUCGCUGGACAAGUAUUGACGCUGAGGUGCGAAAGCGUGGGGAGCAAACAGG